GGAACAAACACACAGUGAAACCCAGGCUACCUAAGUAUGAUUCUCAAUCAGAGACAACUAAUGACACCUGCCUCUGAUUGAGAACCAUACUAGGCCGAAACAUAGAAAUACCCAAAUUAUAGAAAAACAGACUGCCCACCCAACUCACGCCCUGACCAUACUAAAUAAAUACAAAACAAGGGAAAUAAAGGUCAGAACGUGACAGUACCCCCCCCCCCAAGGUGCGGACUCCGGCCGCAAAACCUUGACCUAUAGGGGAGGGUCUGGGUGGGCGUCUGUCCGCGGUGGCGGCUCUGGCGCGGGACGCGGACCCCACUUAACCAUUGUCUUAGUCCGCCUCAUUGUCCGCCUCCGUGGCUUUCUACCCAUGGCCACCCCUCUCAAUGACCCCACUGGACAGAGGAGCAGCUCGGGACAGAGGAGCAGCUCGGGACAGAGGUGCGGAAGCUCGGGACAGAGGGGCGGAAGCUCGGGACAGAGGGGCGGAAGCUCGGGACAGAGGGGCGGAAGCUCGGGACAGAGGGGCGGAAGCUCGGGACAGAGGGGCGGAAGCUCGGGACAGAGGGGCGGAAGCUCGGGACAGAGGGGCGGAAGCUCUGGCGCCUCUGGGCUGAGGGGCUCCGGCAGCGGCGCCGGACAGGCGGGAGGCUCCGGCAGCGGCGCCGGACAGGCGGGAGGCUCCGGCAGCGGCGCCGGACAGGCGGGAGGACCUGCAGGAAGGAGACGGAGAGACAGCCUGGUGCGUGGGGCUGCCACAGGAACCACCAGGCUGGGGAGACCUUCAGGAGGCUUGGUGUUAGGAGGAGGCACCUGAAGGACCGGGCUGUGGGGGAGCACUGGAGCUCUGGUGCGCAACCUUGGCACCACUUCCCCAGGCUGGACAACUACUCUAGCCCGGACUCUCCAGAGUGCAGGCACAGGUUGAACCGGGCUGUGGAUAAGCACGGGAGAUCUAGUGCUCACUACACGCACCUCUCCCCUAGGCUCCACUCCCACAUUUGCCCGGCACGAGCGGAGCGCAGGCAGAGGACGCACUGCACCCUCCCAGCACCCCGGAGACACAGCACGCAGAGCCGGCGCAGGGUAACCUGGACCAAAACUGCGUACCGG
ensembl:lncRNA